rnacentral:misc_RNA from 1 species
GAAAUGCGAUAAGUAAUGUGAAUUGCAGAAUUCCGUGAAUCAUCGAAUCUUUGAACGCACAUUGCGCCCUCUGGCAUUCCGGGGGGCAUGCCUGUCCGAGCGUCAUUACGCACCCUCAAGCCCGGCUUGUGUGAUGGGCCCCGGCGUCUCGUUCGCGAGACGGGCCCGAAAGGCAGCGGCGGCGUCGACCCGAUGAGCCCGAUCGUAUGGGGACUUCUGUCACACGUUCGCGGUGCGGACCGGCGCCUGCUUGACUUUUCUGAUUAUCCAGGUUGACCUCGGAUCAGGUAGGGAUACCCGCUGAACUUAAGC